rnacentral:lncRNA from 1 species
GGAAGGCACUAGCAAAGAGCUUGCGACAAUGAUACUGCUGCAGAGAUUGGAGAUUUGCGUGAAGUUGGUGAAACUAGCCAUAGAGUUUGUCAUGGUUGUGGCUGAAGCAGUUGGGGUAGUCAUUCAACAAAAUGACAGGCCAGUAGUAAUGACGAUGGUUGGCCGGUCUUUUGCUUCUCCUGUUCCCUUUGUUGGGUAUAUUCCUUAAUUGAGUUUCAUUUUUCUAGGAUUUUCCAUGCCAGCAACAAAUGAUCAUAAAAGGUUUUCAGGUCUGGACCGUUUGUAAUUUUGUUCUUUCUUUGGUAGCUAAGGUUUUGAAAUUUGAAUGUGUAAAUAUAGGCUAGCCUGGUAUGAUGCUUUGUAAGCAGUACCUAAUUUCUUUCUGGUCAAUAUUUCAUUGUUUCAUCAAGAAGUUUAAACCUGUUUUGAAUAACAGAGUUGAUUGCAUGAACUAUUUGAUCUAAAUCUCAGUUUUUUUCUUCGUAAAUUUUACCUUGCAGCAUUGUAUGCAUAUCAAUUUUUGCUUGUAGUUCAAUUAGCGAGGACUUGGAAACAAAAGAUUUAGACUCUGGCUUUGAUUUUAAUGGAGUUUAAUCAUGUUUUUGAAGUUUUUUCAUUCAAAAUUACAUAAUAUAGUGGGGAAAUCCUUGUUCUUCUUGUAUAAAUAUCUCUAAUAUUUCUAAUUCAAUUUUUUUUUUUUUAAAGAAACGUUUACGAUAAGGAAAAAUGGAGUUCAUGGUGGAUAUUUGAGGGAUAAAGCUGCAGUCGACAAUUUUCAUUGUGGGCAGGGACAUAUGAUUUUGUCCCCAGUUUUGGGCAGAUAUUUUUGCCUUUCUGGCGGACAAUUUGCAUUAUUAAAUAGUUCCAAAAUGCAUACUUUAUUACUAUUUAAUUCGCAAAUAAAACUGGUUGUUGAAGAACCCUUUUUUUGUUUAACCUUUUCCAUCCUUUUUGAAUUAAGUGGCAAAAAUAGAGAAGAGGUUUCAAUUUUCAAUCCAGAUGUGACAGCUUGGGGACUGUUUUUACUCGCAUGGUUUUGUAUAUGUUAGAGAGACAUGGUGAUGAUAGAGAAACAUCGAUGUAUCAUCCAUAGUUAAACAUCUGUCAUGGAUAUUGGAUAAUGAGGUAGAUGAAUUGGUUGAAAAGGAUUAAGUUUCCUUCCAAAUCCUUCAGAAAAUGACAUGAUUCAAUGAAAUUAUAUGAAAACAACGUUUAAGUUGAACAUCCACAUGCAUCUAUGGAAGCAUCAAAUUUUUACCAAAGUAAAUCUUAGACUAAAU